CCAGAACAUUCACAGGGACUAUGUGAGAAGGGAUCAGAAGGUUUUUAAGACCCACAGAUACGGAGCUGACUUCUGGGACAGAGGGUUCUACCGAUACCCUCUAAGCGAUGGCACAGAGGAAGGAGGCCACCUGCUCUCCUGUCGCCUACACCCCACCCAACCACCAUCAGCUCAGCCCUGGGGCCAAGCGCCUCCUGCAGAUAGUGCUCUUGGGCCGUGCUAAGUGUGCCUGUGGCUUCCUGGGCAGAUGCCGCCCUGAGGACCGGCUCACGACAGGACACGGAGUGUAUGCCUGCAGACUACCACCAGCUGUCAGGGGGCCACAGACCCAGAUGACCCCAGUUAUAAGUGGCUGUGCAGCUCCAGGACAACAGGGACCCUCACCUUCCAUCCAGCUGAUGGAGGAUUUCUGGAAAAGGUCUUCUUCCUGCAUGUGAAUCACUCUUCCCACGUAGUAAACAGAGGUGACGUUAAUGGCAAAAGGACCGAUUCCAGUGGGCUGGUUACAUUCACCUUUCUUGCUUCGUGGGAGGGACAAACAGCCAAUCAAAAGCAGCCUGGAUGCUCUACCCAGAACAGGCACUUCCAAACGCUGCCAUUUGCAAGUGGCCUCUAGCUCUGCUCCGUCACAGCCAAAUCCUGCGCCCUCCACUGCAGGGUACUUCUGUGACGAGUUUCAAUAAAACUAUAUUUACGCUAAACACAAGACCGAACAAAAGCUCCAGACUCUAACAUCUUAUUUACAAACAUCUCAAUUUGAAGUAAUUAAAACAGUUGCAAAACUACUAGUUACCUUCCUUUCCUCCCUGCCUCUCCUGGUGUCCUGCUCACCAAAGAGCAGUCGAGAAAGAGAGUGUGUAGUUCUAAGAAACCACCAGUAGGUGGUGCAGGCAAAUUCUGCGGCGGAGUAGGCCCUUGAGAAGCCAGGGGCCCUUGAGCAAAUAUCCGUCUGGGUUCCAUUUUGAUUGUUUUGGCUGGUGGUUUGGGAUUUUAAGUCCCCGUCAUUAAAAGACUGUUCCAUUUCCAAAUAACUUUUCUGGCUUAAAAGGAAGGACCUUUUAUUGUUUUGUUGUAAUAAGGGUUACCAUUUAAGUACCUCCCAGGUGCCAGACACGCUAGUAGGUGCUUUACCUACUUUCAAUCCAGGCAACAACCCUACGACAUAUUCACCAUCACCUCAUAUUACAAAGGAGCUAGGACUCAGCAAGUUCUAGUGCCCUGCACACAGAGCUGGAAUUGGUAGAACUGGGGAUUUGAAUCCAGUCUACAUAGCUCCAACAUCCAUGCUGUAAACCCCCUGAUAUCACUUUGAAGCUGCUGAUUCAGACAAUACAUUUGAGGAAGCCACAGAAGGGCUAUUUUAGAGCAGUCCAGACAGCAUCCCUAGGUCCCCAAGAUCCUGAAAUGACUGCCAAGGAUACUGGGAAUUCCAUUCCUGGAACACGUCUCAGAUCCCUGGGAGACCUACCUCCCCUCCAGAGGUUACCAUUCCACGCUGGUAGGAGUCCUUGACUCCUUUUCUCAUCUCUAAGACACAGAGUGGAGCAGCCCUGGAGGCAGCAGGAGGGAUUCUGGGUAGAGCAGCCCCGAGUGUAUGUCUCUAAUAAAGCCAGGUACAAGCUCCUCGGCUCACUGUCCAUGGACAGUACAAUUAAUCACGUUUCCACUGCCACCUUCCCACCCAGCCUCGUGGUCAUCUUCCAGAGUCUGCCUGGUUAGGAAAGGAAGUCCUUUGUCACAG
rnacentral:lncRNA from 10 species